AACUAUAUAGCUUAAAUUAAAGCAUUGUUUUGAAGCAACAAAGAUAACCUUAUAGUUA
rnacentral:tRNA from 1 species